GACUUCUACAGGACCAUCGGAUUCAGCUUCGGAGUUGGAGUUACCUGUCCCCAAGGAGGAAGACUGGAAGGCCAUCGCUGCCGAGUUCCUGGAGAGGUGGAAUUUCCCAUUGACGGGAAACAUGUACUAAUCCAUGUUCCACCGUGCUCGGUUCGCAAUUCUACAACUACCGGGCCACAUCCUGUUCAACAAGGUCCUCAGUGGUCACUUCCGUGAGGUUCAUAACAAUCUCAGGUGGUCCUAGAUCCAGAGGUGCUUCCUCCAUUUCAUCAUCUUCCAUGGCUGCACCGGUGAAGGUCAUACUUGUGGAUGAUGUAGAUGUUGUAGAGGGUCUCGCUGCACCGGUUGUGGUUGCACUAGUACAUGACAUAGAGGGCAAUCCAACUAUUGUGGAGACUUGUCUCCAAGCUGCAUUUUUUGUGUUUACAUCCCUGUAGCUGUCAGCAGUUUUGUCAAAAGGACACAACUGCAACAAGUGUGUAUAUACCUGCAUUCUGUACUGUUGCGUAGCUGUGUAACAUGUUAUGCAACAUUGACGCAAUUGGCGCACUCGGUGUGUUUGAAGCGUCAGGCUUCCUGAUAGUUAGAGAUGAGAGAAAAUGUUGGUCAUUCAAAGGCUAUUUUUACUUGGGAAAUAGUAUAAUUGUGCUGGACCUUUUAAAGUAAAUUAUGUUCUCAAAUCGUUGUUCAGUGAUAAUAGUAAUUUGUCUGAUCACAAUACAUUUCUUAAUAAAAUAAAUAAAAUAG